AUCGAUUCUAAUAGAGCGGAGCC
rnacentral:snRNA from 1 species